rnacentral:rRNA from 1 species
GAUGAACGCUGGCGGCGUGCCUAAUACAUGCAAGUCGAGCGAACGGACGAGAAGCUUGCUUCUCUGAUGUUAGCGGCGGACGGGUGAGUAACACGUGGAUAACCUACCUAUAAGACCGGGAUAACUUCGGGAAACCGGAGCUAAUACCGGAUAAUAUUUUGAACCGCAUGGUUCAAAAGUGAAAGACGGUCUUGCUGUCACUUAUAGAUGGAUCCGCGCUGCAUUAGCUAGUUGGUAAGGUAACGGCUUACCAAGGCAACGAUGCAUAGCCGACCUGAGAGGGUGAUCGGCCACACUGGAACUGAGACACGGUCCAGACUCCUACGGGAGGCAGCAGUAGGGAAUCUUCCGCAAUGGGCGAAAGCCUGACGGAGCAACGCCGCGUGAGUGAUGAAGGUCUUCGGAUCGUAAAACUCUGUUAUUAGGGAAGAACAUAUGUGUAAGUAACUGUGCACAUCUUGACGGUACCUAAUCAGAAAGCCACGGCUAACUACGUGCCAGCAGCCGCGGUAAUACGUAGGUGGCAAGCGUUAUCCGGAAUUAUUGGGCGUAAAGCGCGCGUAGGCGGUUUUUUAAGUCUGAUGUGAAAGCCCACGGCUCAACCGUGGAGGGUCAUUGGAAACUGGAAAACUUGAGUGCAGAAGAGGAAAGUGGAAUUCCAUGUGUAGCGGUGAAAUGCGCAGAGAUAUGGAGGAACACCAGUGGCGAAGGCGACUUUCUGGUCUGUAACUGACGCUGAUGUGCGAAAGCGUGGGGAUCAAACAGGAUUAGAUACCCUGGUAGUCCACGCCGUAAACGAUGAGUGCUAAGUGUUAGGGGGUUUCCGCCCCUUAGUGCUGCAGCUAACGCAUUAAGCACUCCGCCUGGGGAGUACGACCGCAAGGUUGAAACUCAAAGGAAUUGACGGGGACCCGCACAAGCGGUGGAGCAUGUGGUUUAAUUCGAAGCAACGCGAAGAACCUUACCAAAUCUUGACAUCCUUUGACAACUCUAGAGAUAGAGCCUUCCCCUUCGGGGGACAAAGUGACAGGUGGUGCAUGGUUGUCGUCAGCUCGUGUCGUGAGAUGUUGGGUUAAGUCCCGCAACGAGCGCAACCCUUAAGCUUAGUUGCCAUCAUUAAGUUGGGCACUCUAAGUUGACUGCCGGUGACAAACCGGAGGAAGGUGGGGAUGACGUCAAAUCAUCAUGCCCCUUAUGAUUUGGGCUACACACGUGCUACAAUGGACAAUACAAAGGGCAGCGAAACCGCGAGGUCAAGCAAAUCCCAUAAAGUUGUUCUCAGUUCGGAUUGUAGUCUGCAACUCGACUACAUGAAGCUGGAAUCGCUAGUAAUCGUAGAUCAGCAUGCUACGGUGAAUACGUUCCCGGGUCU